CCCUAUCAUGAAAUACAAGAUUGUCAUAAAAACAGUUGCUUAAUAAUGAUCAAAUUCUUAUUAGGCUUCUUCUUCUCUCUCACUUUUGCUAGUCUUACCAACCUCUCUGUUAGAUCACUCAUGCCAGCCAACUCAACCAUCUCAAAUAUUUCUUCAUUCAUCUUUCCUGAACUUAUACACACCUCCACCGUUCCCCCCAAUCCAUCUCCUAAUGCAACCUAAUCUAGUUGUCUCAACAUUCAGAAGACUAUCUUUCAACCAGCCCAUUGUGCCUAUACGCCAACCUUGCCUUCUUCUCAAUUGAACUCUCAUUCUCAAUCGACCUCUUACUACAUUUUGAUUGCAUAAUACACCAAGCCUAGCCAUCUAUACCAUCCCCACUUAAAGUACGUUAGGAUUGAGGAGGGAAGCAAGUUGGAAGCAAUUGGUUGUGGUUAAGGAAUAUCCCUUGAUGCCUACCAUACUUUAGUUCACUCGCAAGUUUGCAUCACUAAUGGAUGAUUGUGGCAGUGAGAUUACAAGGAAAUCUUCAGUGUCAUUCAUAGAAGUAUUGAGGCAAGAGACAGAGAGAUAGAGAGAUAGAUAGGCGGGCGGGUAGAUAGAUUAAACAAACAGCUUGACAGACAGAUAAAUAUAGAGAGAG
rnacentral:lncRNA from 1 species